rnacentral:tRNA from 1 species
AAUAGGGUGCCUGACUAAAAGGAUUGUUUUGAUAGAGCAAAUAAUGCGCUUCGCGCUCCUGUUA